rnacentral:rRNA from 1 species
GACGAACGCUGGCGGCGUGCUUAACACAUGCAAGUCGAACGGAAAGGCCCUGCUUUUGUGGGGUGCUCGAGUGGCGAACGGGUGAGUAACACGUGAGUAACCUGCCCUUGACUUUGGGAUAACUUCAGGAAACUGGGGCUAAUACCGGAUAGGAGCUCCUGCUGCAUGGUGGGGGUUGGAAAGUUUCGGCGGUUGGGGAUGGACUCGCGGGUUAUCAGCUUGUUGGUGGGGUAGUGGCUUACCAAGGCUUUGACGGGUAGCCGGCCUGAGAGGGUGACCGGCCACAUUGGGACUGAGAUACGGCCCAGUCUCCUACGGGAGGCAGCAGUGGGGAAUAUUGCACAAUGGGCGGAAGCCUGAUGCAGCAGCGCCGCGUGCGGGAUGACGGCCUUCGGGUUGUAAACCGCUUUCGCCUGUGACGAAGCGUGAGUGACGGUAAUGGGUAAAGAAGCACCGGCUAGCUACGUG